GCCGCCAUCCAUGUCGCCGCCGCCGACCACCCGGACGCCCUCCGCGCGCGCCGGGACGGCAUUGCCAAGCUCCUCUACACCGCGCUCGUCGUCCUCCCGCCGCUGCUUCACAAGCCGCCUACGUCGCGCUCUCCCCUCCCGACGCCGUGCUCCGCCUCCUCGCCUCCCUCCCCUGUGCCCCCAAUUUCUUCAUGCUCAACACACGCUCUGUGCCCUAGCAUCCUCCCCCGGCCCGGCCUCCGCCCUCGGCUUCUUCUCCCUCCUCCGCCGCGACAGCGGCAACAGCAGCGGCGGCGGCGGCGGCUCGUACUCGCCUCACUCCCUCCCGGGCACGCGCGGAAAGAAUAACGAAGGAGGCGAGCUCCCUCCUCUCCCGCCGGCGAGCUGGAAGGGCGGCGGACGGCUAGGCAAGCUCCCUGGCCUACCGGCGAGCGCGCGUGCGUCGCUCCCUCCUCUCCCGCCGGCGCCGCUCCUGUGCGUCAGCCAUCCGUGUGCGGUUCGUGCGAGGCGCCGCUCCGGGUGUGCAGGCUUCCGCGCGCCUCCUUCCUCGCUCGCCGUCGCCCUCCCUUCGACUGGCGGCGGCGGCGGAUGGCCGACAAAGAUGAGGCAGCGGCGGCGGCUGUUGACGGUGGCGAUGGGGAUGGGGAUGGGCACCCGUCGGAAGGUGCCGAUGGCGGUGGCCCUAGUGCACCAUGUGAAGGCGGCGGAGACGAUCCUAGAGGGGCAUCCUCCGGUGCCACAAGGCAAGAUCCGUCUCUCCCAGGAGACGAUCGACGCGAUCCUCGCCAGGAAGACGGAGCCUUACCCCAGCGAUUCCCUUCGCUACUACCGGAGCUUGAAAGACAACCCGGCGUUCCCGCCGGAGUUCUCCGACGACCUCAUGCGCACCAUCCUCAGCUGCGCCCGGGAGCACGACAGGUUGCAGAGGCGGAUCCUCGGGCGCCAGGCGUGGAUCCGCAACGAGUUGGAGGAGAAGGGCUAUACGUGUAACUUCGUGUUUAAAUGUCCCCUCUGCACCAAGCUCUGUCCAGGGAGUUCAAGAAAGGAUGAUGAAGUUAUACAACAGAAGAUUAAAUUGCAUGGGUCUGCAAGAUUAACGACCUACAAAGGUAAACAAGAACUAAAAUAA
rnacentral:lncRNA from 1 species